GAGGAAGAGCUUGCUCUUCCAAAGUUAGUGGCGGACGGGUGAGUAACACGUGGGCAACCUGCCUGUAAGUUGGGGAUAACUCCGGGAAACCGGGGCUAAUACCGAAUGAUAGAGUGUGGCGCAUGCCACGCUUUUGAAAGAUGGUUUCGGCUAUCGCUUACAGAUGGGCCCGCGGUGCAUUAGCUAGUUGGUAGGGUAAUGGCCUACCAAGGCAACGAUGCAUAG
rnacentral:rRNA from 1 species